UUUAGUCCAGUCAUUCUAUUUAUAACCUAGAAAAAAUUGCAAAAGAAUUAAUUCCUUGUGCAUCGUACGUAACAAUGCCUAAUUAAGACACAAUGUUAUUUUUAAGCCUCAUUUCAAUGGGGAAAGUGUAAAAAUCCAACAAUGAAAAUGGCGAAAAUAAUACAUUUUGAAGAUGUCCUGUAUAGUACACCAUUCAGGUGCUUUCUGUGUAUAUGACGUCAUUAAGUGACGUGAAAUCAUAUAAAAUGGCGGAUGCGUUGACUCAGGCCGGUGUGUUUUUUCAGUAACAAUAAUUGGUGUGAUGGUAAGCAUUUACUAGAAAUAUAAAAGAAAGUAAGUUAUCUUUUGUAAUAAUUCCUAUAAAUUUUGAAUUUCAACAUUAAACAAUGUCUAAAACCUUUGAUAUUUAAGCCAAAAUCGAGUUUACAGCAGAGAAAUGAACAAUACAUAAUUAUGCAUCAAAUGAAGGUUAAAUAUCUCUUUUUGGCCCUAUAAAUUUGUUGAAAGCAGAUGAUCAAUUAUUUUAUAUAAAAUAUAUGUUAUUCCUGUGUAUAAAAUCAUUUUUUAUAUAACCGGUAAAUAAAAGUCUGCACAAACAAUUAAACUACGGAAGCGUGUUUGGGUCAAAAUUCGGAAAUUUAGAAAAUAAAUCUUAAUUUUUUUUUUUGCGAUUUAUGACAAAGCUUUGGCUAAAUAAGUCUAUAAUGCAUGUUAAAUGAAUAAGUUUAAAGUACUUUUUUAUUUGUUUCAUUUUAGAUUGACCUUACUAAUCCAGUGAAAUAAGUUUGCAGGAGAAGUCUUUAACUUGAAGCUGGUUCGUUACGUGCAUGUAAACGUUUAAAGGUAAAAGACAUGUGAACUUGAGAAAUGAAGGUGUGGGCUGAACUGUAGGAACUUAAAGCAGUGAAAUAUCAACCUGAUUGGUUCUAAUGAGGUGUUACAAUA